rnacentral:rRNA from 1 species
GAUGAACGCUAGCGGGAGGCCUAACACAUGCAAGCCGAGCGGUAGAGUCCCUUCGGGGGCUUGAGAGCGGCGUACGGGUGCGGAACACGUGUGCAACCUACCUUUAUCUGGGGGAUAGCCUUUCGAAAGGAAGAUUAAUACCCCAUAAUAUAUAGAUUGGCAUCAAUCGAUAUUGAAAACUCCGGUGGAUAGAGGUGGGCACGCGCAAGAUUAGCUAGUUGGUGAGGUAACGGCUCACCAAGGCAAUGAUCUUUAGGGGGCCUGAGAGGGUGAUCCCCCACACUGGUACUGAGACACGGACCAGACUCCUACGGGAGGCAGCAGUGAGGAAUAUUGGACAAUGGGUGCAAGCCUGAUCCAGCCAUCCCGCGUGAAGGACGACGGCCCUAUGGGUUGUAAACUUCUUUUGUACAGGGAUGAACCUACCCUCGUGAGGGUAGCUGAAGGUACUGUACGAAUAAGCACCGGCUAACUCCGUGCCAGCAGCCGCCGUAA